rnacentral:rRNA from 1 species
UACGUAGGGUGCGAGCGUUAAUCGGAAUUACUGGGCGUAAAGCGUGCGCAGGCGGAUGUUUAAGUCAGAUGUGAAAUCCCCGGGCUCAACCUGGGAAUGGCAUUUGAAACUGGGCAUCUAGAGUGCGUCAGAGGGGGGUGGAAUUCCACGUGUAGCAGUGAAAUGCGUAGAGAUGUGGAGGAACACCGAUGGCGAAGGCAGCCCCCUGGGAUGACACUGACGCUCAUGCACGAAAGCGUGGGGAGCAAACGGGAUUAGAUACCCUGGUAGUCCACGCCCUAAACAAUGUCAACUGGUUGUUGGGGACGUAAGUUCUUAGUGAGGAAGCAAACGCGUGAAGUUGACCGCCUGGGGAGUACGGCCGCAGGGUUG